rnacentral:rRNA from 1 species
CGGGUGAGUAAUGCCUAGGAAUCUGCCUGGUAGUGGGGGACAACGUUUCGAAAGGAACGCUAAUACCGCAUACGUCCUACGGGAGAAAGCAGGAGACCUUCGGGCCUUGCGCUAUCAGAUGAGCCUAGGUCGGAUUAGCUAGUUGGUGAGGUAAUGGCUCACCAAGGCGACGAUCCGUAACUGGUCUGAGAGGAUGAUCAGCCACACUGGAACUGAGACACGGUCCAGACUCCUACGGGAGGCAGCAGCC